rnacentral:precursor_RNA from 1 species
AGGGCCAGGCCCUUUGACGUGGGCGUUAUGUCCCAGCCGUCCGUCGGGGGCCUGGCACACA